UUUGCCCAUCAGUGAUAACGCUGGAGGUGGCGUUUCUGAGGUCCGCCAAAUUGCUUUACGACAAACUUGGCACACCUGAGAAACGCCUGCUCCAGUUGCCUAUAUGCUAAAUGUUCA
rnacentral:precursor_RNA from 9 species